AUGAAGUCACAAACCAGAGGGAGGAGGCCAGGCCUGCAGGGGCUGCUUCGGAGGGCUGGCCACGCGGGCAGCUGCAACCUGGGCAUGUACGUCUGUGUGGCAGGGGGGCUUCUGGACUGGGGGCUCGGCACCGACCCAGGAAGGGGAGCUGUGAGCAGGGACAUCUGGCCCUAGUCUCAGAGCAACAUCCCUCGAAAUGCCAUCUGGCCCUGGAAGGUGCAAGGGAGGCAGGAUGAGUCUGCUCAUGCUACCGCGGGCCGCCCAGCAAGGAAGCAGGCUGCCCGCCAGGCUGGCACGCGCCUCUUGCAGUGGAGGGUUUGCUCUUCAGGAACGGACAGAGAACCUCCAGACUCCCUCGGCUGCACGCUGGGGGCGAGCCCAGGCAGCCACAGGAGUCCUCCAAGCCAGAUGAGCCCGCCCUGCGGCACUGCCAGCACUUGGGACGCCAGACUCCCUUCAGGCGGCGGGCCCCAAGGGCACUGCGACAGCUCAGCACCCACCACAGAUCAGCAACAGGACAACCCGAGCGCGGAGACACAGACGGGAAGCGUGUGGGGUCCUGGGAUAGGCCCAACUCAAUGAUUUCCCCUCCCUGGGGCUAAGACACCACUGAUGUGAAGACGCAGGAGACAGGACAACCCCCCGUGAAGGGUCCUGUCCACCCACCACUGAGGCCUGGCCCGACUUUCUACAAGACCCUGCUGGGGGGGAAGUGCCCCUCGGAGUAAAGGAAAUACAGCCCCACUCCUGGGAAGACAGCACUCAUUUCCAUCAGAGGCCACGCCCCCCACUCACACGCCAGGAGAAAGCCACACCUGCAGAAGCCUGCUCCCCACCCAAUGCCAGGGGCGGAAAUGUGGACGGAGGGCGACUUCUCUGCCAGCCUGGCGGGGGCCUGCAGCAAGCUCGCCGAUGCCCUCUGCGCCUGCUGGGCCCGCAGGGGCCUGACAAGCGCUACUGUCUCCGGGCUACAGAGGACACUGGAGCUCAGAGCUGGACAACCGGCCCAGGCCCAGGCCGCACACGGCGCAGCAGGCCGUCUGCCGCACUCUGGGGGAGGUCACCCUGGGGCUGCUGACCUGCUCUGUCCCUCGCCCCAGCACCGUGGCAAUCUAACAGGAAGGGGCAGGGCCAGCUCCCUCUGGAACUCGGGCAGCGUCAAAGAUAAGGUGUCUUCAAAAAGCUCAUGGAAAACGUGCGUUGUGACGAAACUUGCAUGGCUUUCAAGUUUUUUUGCCCCAAAAUAAACUGAUACUAACUUGUCA
rnacentral:lncRNA from 1 species